GGACGAAAGUCUGACGGAGCAACGCCGCGUGAGUGAUGAAGGUUUUCGGAUCGUAAAGCUCUGUUGUUAGGGAAGAACAAGUGCGAGAGUAACUGCUCGCACCUUGACGGUACCUAACCAGAAAGCCACGGCUAACUACGUGCCAGCAGCCGCGGUAAUACGUAGGUGGCAAGCGUUGUCCGGAAUUAUUGGGCGUAAAGGGCUCGCAGGCGGUUUCUUAAGUCUGAUGUGAAAGCCCCCGGCUCAACCGGGGAGGGUCAUUGGAAACUGGGAAACUUGAGUGCAGAAGAGGAGAGUGGAAUUCCACGUGUAGCGGUGAAAUGCAUAGAGAUGUGGAGGAACACCAGUGGCGAAGGCGACUCUCUGGUCUGUAACUGACGCUGAGGAGCGAAAGCGUGGGGAGCGAACAGGAUUAGAUACCCUGGUAGUCCACGCCGUAAACGAUGAGUGCUAAGUGUUAGGGGGUUUCCGCCCCUUAGUGCUGCAGCUAACGCAUUAAGCACUCCGCCUGGGGAGUACGGUCGCAGGACUGAAACU
rnacentral:rRNA from 1 species